GACGAACGCUGGCGGCGUGCCUAAUACAUGCAAGUCGAACGAACCGCGACUGAGUGCUUGCACUUGGUCAAGGUGAGUGGCGAACGGGUGAGUAACAAGUGGGUAACCUACCUCAUAGUGGGGGAUAACAGUCGGAAACGACUGCUAAUACCGCAUAGGACAUAGGAUCACAUGAUCCAGUGAGGAAAGGUGGCGCAAGCUAUCGCUAAGAGAUGGACCCGCGGUGCAUUAGCUAGUUGGUAGGGUAAAGGCCUACCAAGGCGAUGAUGCAUAGCCGACCUGAGAGGGUGAUCGGCCACAUUGGGACUGAGACACGGCCCAAACUCCUACGGGAGGCAGCAGUAGGGAAUCUUCCGCAAUGGACGCAAGUCUGACGGAGCAACGCCGCGUGAGUGAAGAAGGUCUUCGGAUCGUAAAGCUCUGUUGUUAGAGAAGAACAGCGCAUAGAGUAACUGCUAUGCGUGUGACGGUAUCUAACCAGAAAGCCACGGCUAACUACGUG
rnacentral:rRNA from 1 species